GUGUCAGCAGCCGCGGUAAUACGUAGGUGGCAAGCGUUGUCCGGAAUUAUUGGGCGUAAAGCGCGCGCAGGCGGUCCUUUAAGUCUGAUGUGAAAGCCCACGGCUCAACCGUGGAGGGUCAUUGGAAACUGGGGGACUUGAGUGCAGAAGAGGAAAGCGGAAUUCCACGUGUAGCGGUGAAAUGCGUAGAGAUGUGGAGGAACACCAGUGGCGAAGGCGGCUUUCUGGUCUGUAACUGACGCUGAGGCGCGAAAGCGUGGGGAGCAAACAGGAUUAGAUACCCUGGUAGUCCACGCCGUAAACGAUGAGUGCUAAGUGUUAGGGGGUUUCCGCCCCUUAGUGCUGCAGCUAACGCAUUAAGCACUCCGCCUGGGGAGUACGGCCGCAAGGCUGAA
rnacentral:rRNA from 1 species